CCCUUUUCGUGCCGUGCCCUGGGAGCGGGUGAGGCCACCAUGGAGGCGGCACCGACAACGAGGGACCUCGCCAGGGCUGCGGAGACGCGUCCGCGCAGGAAGAUGUCUUGAAGUAAAAGAGCCUGGGAUGUGACGCUGCAGGACUGGGAGCAGAUCAGAGCUGGCCCUGCUGUGAAGGGAGAGCCUGCAGGUCUCUGCUGGUUGUUGAUGUCCAGUCCCUGAUGUGAGAGCUUUUCACAAGUCCUGUGCAGGGCACUGAGACAGCAGAGCAGGAGAAUCUGCUGGGUGGUGCUGCUGGAAACAUCUCUGAGGCACAAGGACCCCAACAAAACACCUGAGCUUGAGGAUUUUGUGCUGACACAGUUCUCUGCCUUUUACAAAGUGCUAACAGUUAAAAGUGUUUCAUUCUGUGUACAAUAAAAUAAUUAUUUUUAAAA